rnacentral:rRNA from 1 species
AGAGUUUGAUUCUGGCUCAGGACGAACGCUGGCGGCGUGCUUAACACAUGCAAGUCGAACGAGAGGAGAAGAGAAGCUUGCUUCUUUUCGAAUCGAGUGGCAAACGGGUGAGUAACACGUAAACAACCUGCCUUCAGGAUGGGGACAACAGACGGAAACGACUGCUAAUACCGAAUACGCUCAAAGGGCCGCAUGGCCUAUUGAGGAAAGGGUGGCCUCUACCUGUAAGCUAUCGCCUGAAGAGGGGUUUGCGUCUGAUUAGGCAGUUGGUGAGGUAACGGCCCACCAAACCUACGAUCAGUAGCCGGUCUGAGAGGAUGAACGGCCACACUGGAACUGAGACACGGUCCAG